rnacentral:rRNA from 1 species
AACGAACGCUGGCGGCAGGCUUAACAAAUGCAAGUCGAACGCAUCCUUCGGGGUGAGUGGCAGACGGGUGAGUAACGCGUGGGAACGUGCCCUUCAGUUCGGGAUAACCCAGGGAAACUUGGGCUAAUACCGGAUACGUGCGAGAGCAGAAAGAUUUAUCGCUGAAGGAUCGGCCCGCGUCUGAUUAGCUAGUUGGUGGGGUAAUGGCCCACCAAGGCGACGAUCAGUAGCUGGUCUGAGAGGAUGAUUAGCCACAUUGGGACUGAGACACGGCCCAAACUCCUACGGGAGGCAGCAGUGGGGAAUAUUGGACAAUGGGCGCAAGCCUGAUCCAGCCAUGCCGCGUGGGUGAUGAAGGCCUUAGGGUUGUAAAGCUCUUUCGUCCGGGACGAUAAUGACGGUACCGGAAGAAGAAGCCCCGGCUAACUUCGUGCCAGCAGCCGCAGUAA